rnacentral:tRNA from 1 species
GUUAAUGUAGCUUAACGCAAAGCAAGGCACUGAAAAUGCCUAGAUGAGUAGACACUACUCCAUAAACA